rnacentral:misc_RNA from 1 species
UUUCCGUAGGUGAACCUGCGGAAGGAUCAUUAGUGAAUAUUAGGACGUUCAAUUUAACUUGAAGUCCGAACUCUCACUUUCUAACCCUGUGCAUUUGUUUUGGCUAGUAGGAUACUUCGGUGUCCGAAAACCUCUUCAUUUACAAACACUAAGUCUAAGAAUGUAAAAAAAUAUAACAAAACAAAACUUUCAACAACGGAUCUCUUGGCUCUCGCAUCGAUGAAGAACGCAGC